rnacentral:rRNA from 1 species
UGGGGGAUAUUGCACAAUGGGCGAAAGCCUGAUGCAGCGACGCCGCGUGGGGGAUGAAGGCCUUCGGGUUGUAAACUUCUUUUGCUCUGAACAAGGCAUGCUAAUGGGUGUGUUGAGUGUAGGGGUUGAUUAGCGCCGGCUAACUACGUGCCAGCAGCCGCGGUAAUACGUAGGGCGCGAGCGUUGUCCGGAAUUAUUGGGCGUAAAGGGCUUGUAGGUGGCUGGUUGCGUCUGUCGUGAAAGCUCAUGGCUUAACUGUGGGUUUGCGGUGGGUACGGGCUGGCUUGAGUGCAGUAGGGGAGGCGGGAAUUCCUGGUGUAGCGGUGGAAUGCGCAGAUAUCAGGAGGAAUACCGGUGGCGAAGGCGGGUCUCUGGGCUGUUACUGACACUGAGGAGCGAAAGCAUGGGGAGCGGACAGG